GCGGGCGUAGCUCAGUUGGUAGAGCACCUGGUUGUGGUCCUGGUUGUCGCGGGUUCGAGCCCCGUCGCUCGCCCCA
rnacentral:tRNA from 1 species